rnacentral:rRNA from 1 species
UACGUAGGGUGCAAGCGUUGUCCGGAUUUAUUGGGCGUAAAGAGCGUGUAGGCGGCUUGGUAGGUCCGCUGUGAAAACUCGAGGCUCAACCUCGAGAUGUCGGCGGAAACCACUUGGCUAGAGUCCGGAAGAGGAGAGUGGAAUUCCCGGUGUAGCGGUGAAAUGCGCAGAUAUCAGGAAGAACACCCGUGGCGAAGGCGGCUCUCUGGGACGGUACUGACGCUGAGACGCGAAAGCGUGGGGAGCGAACAGG